rnacentral:lncRNA from 1 species
CUGCACUGCUGAAAUCUUGAGGACAGUUAACCUGCACUGAUCUUACCUCUUUUUGUGAAUGUUAGUAGAACGGCUUCUGUCUGUCUCAGAGAUAUUUUUAACUUUUAUUGUGCUGGGACGUUAUUGUGGCGACAGAUGAACACAGAACACGUGUUUUGGUCGACAUCAUCCUUCUUUUAACCGAAAUAAUUCCAGAUAACUGACUUUCCUUUUCUUUUUACCAACAAAUCUUCAUUUUCGGUGGUUUUCUCUUGUUCGUUGCUCAUUUUGCGAUCGUCGUUGUUGUUGUUGUUAGCGGUGUUGUGCCGAGAAACGCACGUCCUCCGAGAAUUGCAUGCACCUUGCAAAACGCGCACCACUUAUAGUAGAGUGGUCCACGGAAAUAUACAUUUUAAAACCCAUACAGUUCUAAUUUGUUGGGCUUAACAGUCAUGAGUAAAGUUCCGAAAGUAAUUCUCAGCGGACACACGUUUCUCGGCUCAACACCAGCAGCCAGUGAGUAACUCCAUGUGCAGAACAUGUGCAGGGGUGGGUUUCCUCCUCCCUGAUUUUGAUUGACAGCUGGCAGGGUAGUCUGAUUGGCAACUGAGAACUGAGUCUGAUUGGCAACUGAGUAAAGGACGAAGGUGAUUGGUGGAUCGCUGCACAGCACAUGCAGAGUCACAUGCAGUGUAUCUCAGUCAGUUACCCUUGAAAUUAACUGAGUUCAUUCACCUCCGACAUCGCAGGCUCUGCGAUGUGACUAUCGCACACAUGUACAUCGCGGUGACGAUGCUCAAACAAUAUAUCGUGCAGGCCUAA